AGUCACUGACAUUAGAUACCCCGGUAGUCCAGGGUGUAAACGCUGCAGACUUGGUGUUGGAAGCCCUUUGGGGGCAUUCAGUGCCGGAGAGAAGUUGUUAAGUCUGCUACUUGGGGAGUACGUCCGCAAGGAUGAAACUUAAAGGAAUUGGCGGGGGAGCACCGCAACGGGAGGAGCGUGCGGUUUAAUUGGAUUCAACACCGUAAACUCACCAGGGAAGACUGUUACAUGAAGGCCGAGAUGAAGACUCUGCUAGAUUUUUCAG
rnacentral:rRNA from 1 species